rnacentral:rRNA from 1 species
GACGUAGGUGGCGAACGUUAUCCGGAUUCAUUGGGCGUAAAGGGUGCGUAGGUGGCGGGGUAAGUCAGGUGUGAAAUCUCGGGGCUUAACUCCGAAACUGCAUUCGAUACUGCCGUGCUUGAGGACUGGAGAGGAGACUGGAAUUUACGGUGUAGCGGUGAAAUGCGUAGAGAUCCGGAGGAACACCGACGGCGUAGGCAGCGCCCUGGACGACACCUGACGCUGAGGCACGAAAGCUGGGGGAGCGAACAGG